rnacentral:SRP_RNA from 1 species
GCCAGGCGAGGUGUUGCUUGCCUGUGAUCCCAGCUACUUGGGAGGCUGAGGUGAGAGGAUUGCUUGAGCCCAGGAAUUCAAGGCUGCAGUGCGCUAUGAUUGUGCCUGUGAAUAGCCACUGCACUAUAGCCUGGACAACACAGUGAGACCAUGUCUCCA